rnacentral:lncRNA from 1 species
GAGCGAAACCAACGCCUGGCUGGGAGCAGCCGCCGCGGAGGUCUCUGGCCAGUAUCGCUUCCACCUGUCCACAAACAUGGGGAAUAUCUUUGCAAACCUCUUCAAGGGCCUUUUUGGCAAAAAAGAAAUGCGCAUUCUCAUGGUGGGCCUGGAUGCUGCAGGGAAGACAACAAUUCUAUACAAACUGAAGCUGGGCGAAAUUGUGACCACCAUUCCCACCAUUGGUGAGAAGCUGGGCCAGGGUGGGGGUAGGGUGUGGGGAUCCAGAGUAUAGAGGGCCCUCAGCUACAACCCUGACCCCCAGGUUUCAACGUGGAGACUGUUGAAUACAAGAAUAUCAGCUUCACCGUGUGGGAUGUGGGUGGCCAGGACAAGAUUCGGCCGCUGUGGCGCCACUACUUCCAG